rnacentral:lncRNA from 1 species
UUUUGCAUGCCACAUUAUUGAAUCGUCAUCAUACAAGGGAGCCCAUUAGAGCCACAUUUUCAAUUUACAAAAUACUUGACAAAAAAAUGAAUUAUUAGACAUGAUUGAUUAAAUUGGAAAGCAUAGGGAUACAUGUGAUGAAAUUAAAAGUGCAGGGCCACAACUGAUUUAACAUGUAAAUGUUAGGGAGGUAAAGUGAAAUUAGCUCUUUUUUUAAUAUUUAAAGGAUAUUUUGAUUUUGGUGACAAAAUGUCUUCUUUGAAAGGAUAUUAGAAACUGCUCACACCCUAUGUGUGUGGGAAAGUGGGUGGUUAUCCAUCUAGAAGUUUUUAGUUAGUUUUUGAAAUUAAUAAAUUUUUCUAAUUUUGAUUUUUUUUAUCCCUGACAAUAAAAGUAGGGUGGUGCUAUUCGCACACCCAUUUUCUCUAUUCACACACCACUCUAUUUAUCUAUAACUUUAAAUUUUUUUUUUUACAAAGUAUCUCUCUAACAUGAUGCUUUGAAGUUUAAUUAUGGCAAAACAAGCAACUUUAGACCCCAUCUUUAGAGAAAAUUUUACAUCUGAUUUCCAAUGGAGACAUGAAAGAAAAAUAUGAGCUUAGUGAUCAUUCGAGCCCCUUUGAAUCCAUCAUUCCUGGUUAGAUUCUAACUAAAAUUAUUUGGUGUAUUUUAAUCCAUCGCUCUCGGCUAAAAAUAUCAAUUUCUCAAUGAUUUGGUGGACUAGGAGCUUUAAAUUUGUGAGUUAUGUUCAUCUUAGUUUUAUUUUGGUAUGGCUUCCUUGCUAAUCUUGGUUUUGACUUGAGUUGAUUGAUAAUUUUGAAAUUGUUGGCGCUUUGAUUUCAUUUUGACUUUAGUCAUAUCAUCACUCUACAUAAUGUUUUUUGUCACUGGGAAUUGUAUCUUGAAUCAACGUUGCUUAAUCAGAUGUGAGAGCAAUCAUGGCAUACCUAAAUCCCCAAACUCAGAUACAUCGUGA